AGAGUGAACGCUGGCGGCAGGCCUAACACAUGCAAGUCGAACGGCAGCACAGGGGAGCUUGCUCCCUGGGUGGCGAGUGGCGGACGGGUGAGGAAUACAUCGGAAUCUGCCCAAUCGUGGGGGAUAACGUAGGGAAACUUACGCUAAUACCGCAUACGACCUUCGGGUGAAAGCGUGGGACCGCAAGGCCACGCGCGAUUGGAUGAGCCGAUGUCGGAUUAGCUUGUUGGCGGGGUAAAAGCCCACCAAGGCGACGAUCCGUAGCUGGUCUGAGAGGAUGAUCAGCCACACUGGGACUGAGACACGGCCAGACUCCUACGGGAGCAGCAGUGGGGAAUUUGACGAAUGGGCGCGAAGCCGUGAUCCAGCCAUGCCGCGUGGCGGGAAGAAGGCCGUUCGGUUGGUAAACCGUACGUUUCGUCGACGAAACGGAAACGACGGACGAGCG
rnacentral:rRNA from 1 species